AUUUGUGCUCAUUCUGCACGUCGAAUGACUCUAUUCGACAAUUCUCACCUCGGAGUCACAUGACUCUUCUCACUCGAUUCCGGUUGUCGACUCGAGUGAGGUGAGAGGUUCACUUUUGUAGCGAGAAACGAAAUGAACCAAAACAAAUGCGAUGUUCAUUCGCAGAACUGUCAAACCGGUGGCGCAUCAAGAAUACGCUUUGAUUAUGGCGUAUUAAAAAAACACAAUUUGUAUAUAUCGUUUUAUCUCGUCAAUUUGUAAUAUUUCAUCUACUUACAUCAAGUUAUGACCUUAAACAAAAGUUGUAUGUAAUGAUUUAAAAUUAGAAAGCAUGAUAUAGUAGUUUAAAAUGUGUAUUUUUAACAUUUUGGUAACGCAAACAUAUCCAACGUUUGGCCCUUAUAUAAACAUGCCCGAUUUCUCUUGAGUUGAUUUUCCUCCUUCCAAAAAUUGAAAAAACUUCUUCAAACAAAAUAUUUUUUUUAAUCGUGGUUACGCGGAUUUUACGUCAAGCUGGAUUUGAAUCCGGAGACUGUUUCUUAGGUUUCCUCGGCGCAGUAAGACCACCCCACAAUCCAUCGGUUCGGCAUCGAUAGCCGCAACGGCGACUCUGGCAACGCAUUUUUGCUCAGCCACUUCCGUCGUCGUAUACACGGCUAGAACUAAGUUGACCAGUAGCAGUAGCUCGGUUAGCUACGUCGUCAUCAACAUUCGAGGACCUAUCCUACGACGGAGCAAGGGAAACUUGCGAACCAGUCAGCGACGACUGCUGAAGGUGACCGAGAUUAAUUGUUCCUGUCUCCUGUGGGACCGGCUGAGUACGAAAAAACCGAUCUCAUCUAGUCGGAAAGCGAGGGAACCGAAUCGUCGGAUGAUUCCUCCACAAUGGAAUCAACUCCAACGGUGGGCAGCAAGCACAACAAUGCCUCCAUGUCGAUCAAUGCCCUUCCGAUUUCCAAAGCGGGGGAAUCCCACCCUAAAGAAGCAAAUUCCUCAGCAGAUGGUGAUCCAGCAGAUUCCUUAGAUUCUGCAGCAACAACGACAACACACAGGUUUUGGCCCAGCUGCAGGGCCAACCACAGCAGUUCCACCAUCAGCACCAGCUCGUAAACAAUCAUCACAUCAUCAGUAGCAGCAACACCAGAGAGUCAAAACCAUUUGCAUUAUGAAAAUAUCCAAGACUGACCGGAGAUUGAAACCGUCACUUUCAGCAUGGUCUCGGAAAAUACCCACGUGUUUACCGCAUACAGGUAUCGGAGCUACUUGUACUGCUACGGCUGCUUUGUAAUCAUGAAACAUACAAAAAAGAUACAUAUUAGUGUUAAUGAAAAUAAAUUAUUCUUGAUCAAAACUUUCGGACCUUCUCGGCGCAUUCGGUGUUUUUUUUUCUAGGAUUCCUCCAGAAGUUCUUAUUGGGGUUCUUCUAGAAAAUCUUUCCGGUAUUCCUCCAGGAGCUUUUUUUCUGAGAUUCCUCAACAAAUUCCGUCUGGUAUACCCCAAGAAGAUCAUUCUGAAAUUCUCCAUGAAGUUCUCUUUGGAAUUCGUAAAAAGUGUCUUUGGAAAUUUCUUCAGAAGUUUGUACCCUUCAGGGAUUCCUGCUGAAGUUUAUUAUCGGCUUCCUUCUAGGAUUCCUCCAGGAGUUGCUUGUACGAUUCUUUAAGGAGUUACAUAGCUGAGGGAUUCCUCCAGAAGUUCGUUCUAGGCUUCGUCCAGGAGUAUGUUCUGGCUGG